AGAGUGAACGCUGGCGGUAGGCCUAACACAUGCAAGUCGAACGGCAGCACGGUAAGAGCUUGCUCUUAUGGGUGGCGAGUGGCGGACGGGUGAGGAAUACAUCGGAAUCUACCUUUUGGUGGGGGAUAACGUAGGGAAACUUACGCUAAUACCGCAUACGCCCUUCGGGGGAAAGCCGGGGACCAGCAAAUCGGCCGUGGUGGCUGAUAGAUCGAGCCGAGUGUUCGGAUUAGUCGUAGUUGGUAGAGGGUAAUGGCCUACGACCAAGGACGACCGAUCCGUAGCUGGUCUGGAGAGGAUGAUCA
rnacentral:rRNA from 1 species